AUGAAUUCACUAAUCUGGAACUACCGGGGGGCGGGGAAACGCCAGACAGUUCGUGAGGUGUUGGCCCUCUCAAAAGCCAAUAUCGCCAAGCUUUUCUUCCUCUGUGAGACAAGACAAGUAGCUGGUAAGAUGGAGAAGUUAAGACGGAGGCUUGGUUUGAAGGGUUUUUAUGGUGUGAACAACUGUGGUUUGAGUGGUGGACUUGCAUUGUAUUGGGAUGAGUCUUUGAUAGUUACCGUGUUGGAUUCGUGUCAACGGUAUAUUGAUGUUUCUGUGGAAGAUAGAGGUGGAGAUAAAAAGUGGCAGAUGACAUUUGUGCAUGGCGAGCGAAGAGUUGAGAAUAGAUACAAAAUGUGGUAUCAUCUAACAAGGCUGAGAGGGGUCGCGCAAGAACCAUGGCCUGUUUGUGGCGACUUUAAUGAAACUUUGUGGCAGCAUGAACAUAUGUCGAGAACAUUGCGGUCAGAAUCUCAGAUGGAAGCUUUCAGGGACUUCCUAUUAUUAUGCGAGUUGGAAGACCUUGGUUUCUCAGGGGUCCCUUUACAUACGACAAUGGCGAACUUGGUAAUAACAAUGUACGUGUGCGGUUGA
rnacentral:rRNA from 1 species